rnacentral:rRNA from 1 species
UGGGGAAUAUUGGACAAUGGGCGCAAGCCUGAUCCAGCAAUGCCGCGUGGGUGAAGAAGGCCUGCGGGUUGUAAAGCCCUUUCAGUCGGGAAGAACGCCCCGUGGUGAACAGUUGCGGGGGUUGACGUUACCGACAGAAGAAGCACCGGCUAACUCCGUGCCAGCAGCCGCGGUAAUACGGAGGGUGCAAGCGUUAAUCGGAAUCACUGGGCGUAAAGCGCACGUAGGUGGCGCGUUCAGUCCGCUGUGAAAGCCCUGGGCUCAACCUGGGAAUGGCAGUGGAUACUAGCGUGCUUGAGUCUGUCAGAGGGGGGUGGAAUUCCAGGUGUAGCGGUGAAAUGCGUAGAGAUCUGGAGGAACACCGGUGGCGAAGGCGGCCCCCUGGGGCAAGACUGACGCUGAGGUGCGACAGCGUGGGGAGCAAACA